UCCCGGUUGGCCCGGGCAGUCUCGCCUGAAAUAUUCAACAGACGACAAGGGUUGCGCUCGUUGCGGGACUUAACCCAACAUCUCACGACACGAGCUGACGACGGCCAUGCAGCACCUGUCACUGCAUUCCCGAAGGCACGGCGCUGUUUCCAGCGCUUUCGCAGGAUGUCAAGCCUCGGUAAGGUUCUUGGCGUAGCGUCCAAUUAAACCACAUCAUCCACCGCUUGUGCGGGUCCCCGUCAAUUCCUUUGAGUUUUAAGCUUGCGCUCGUACUCCCCAGGCGGCUUACUUAUCGCGUUAGCUUCACAGCACAGGGGGUCGAUACCCCAUACUAUUAGUAAGCAUCGUUUACGGCGUGGACUAC
rnacentral:misc_RNA from 1 species